GGUUGUGGCUCAGUGGUAGAGCGCUUGCCUCGCAUGCCUGAGGCACUGGGUUCCAUCCCCAGAAGCACA
rnacentral:tRNA from 1 species